AUCGUCUUCUUCUUCUUCCUCUUCUUGAUGCACAU
rnacentral:sRNA from 1 species